rnacentral:RNase_P_RNA from 2 species
UGAGGUAGUAAGCUUAUGUGUACGGGCAAACAAACGAUUGGACUUGUUCCUUUUUAUAAAUAACCCGUGGGAAGGUCUGAGAAAAACCACAAUGCUCUUACCGAGUAACUUGCGAAAGUGAGUGUGAGCAACCAGCGAUUAUUUCCUUGUUUGCCGCUAUAACUGUUGAAGGUCUUUUUCCUUGUGAGAAAGACUGGAGGGUUGGCAAACUUGGGUAUUUGAAACCGGCUUGCGGGUGGGAACGCUAUGCAGUGCAAUACAUAGGACUGGCACUUGUGCCAGCAACUCGAUUCAGACUACUCUUCUUCCUCA